rnacentral:lncRNA from 1 species
AAAAUACCUUAGCAUGAAGAAAGAACUGUAAUAAAACAGUAAGAAGAAGAGAUAAACUGAGACCUAUAUCAACAGAAAAAAAAUGACAUCUCUUUCCAUUUACUGCAGGUGCUGUGUUUGACAACUCGUAGCCUCUGGAAGAUGUUUUUUUGAAGGCAAUCUGUUCCUAUCCUUAAUUAGAAAAGGAACAACAGAUCCCCAGGUGCCAGUGGCUUGACCGAAAGCUAUCUGAGAUAUCCUCAAAAUGGAGUGACUUCAUGUUAACUGGAUAGAAAAGCUCCAGCUUGGUACAGUCAAAAGAGAGCUGUCCUACUUAUACUUGCAGUCAGUUUCUAAUCAACAUCUCUAUCAAGUUUUCACAGAAAGCAGCAAUCAGGUAUUUUUUUCUGUAUUGAAAUCAGUUGCCAGCAGUAGCUUAGUAUCUUUUUAAGCUAGUGGCUUUAAGGCAGCAGAGAGAAAGACAGAGAUGGUAAAACAACAAAAGGCUGCCUUGCCAUCCAUCACAUGUAGAUAAUAUGGCAAGUGUGGCUGCACACUAUUGUGAAGCUUUUCUG